UCUUCCGACAUCACCACCACGCACGGUGACGUCACGGUGCGCGGUGCCGGCCUGCGCACGACGCCCGUGUCGCGGCCGGCGGAGUUCACCGUCACGGCGCCGCGCGGCACGGCCAAGGCCGACCUCCAGGUCACCAUACGAGACCCAUCAGACCGUCGCGUCCCCUGCAGCAUCAGCAAAACCGGCGACGACUUCCUCGUCAAAUACCUGCCCCAGACGGUGGGGGACCACGAGAUCGACAUUCUGCUGCGCGGGGAGCCGAUCCCCGGCUCGCCGCUGGGCAGCAGCGUCUACAACACGU